CAAGGAGUUUUCCGCAAUGGGCGAAAGCCUGACGGAGCAACGCCGCGUGGGGGAUGACGCCCUUCGGGGUGUAAACCCCUUUUCUUGGGGACGAAGCAGUGACGGUACCCGAGGAAGAAGGCCCGGCUAACUACGUGCCAGCAGCCGCGGUAAUACGUAGGGGCCGAGCGUUGUCCGGAGUUACUGGGCGUAAAGCGCGCGCAGGCGGCUCGUCAAGCCUGACGUGAAAGCCCCCGGCUCAACCGGGGAGGGUCGUCGGGGACUGGCGAGCUUGAGGUCGGCAGGGGCUGGUGGAAUUCCCGGUGUAGUGGUGAAAUGCGUAGAGAUCGGGAGGAACACCCGUGGCGAAGGCGGCCAGCUGGGCCGGACCUGACGCUGAGGCGCGAAGGCGUGGGGAGCGAACGG
rnacentral:rRNA from 1 species